CCACAUCACAUUGAAACACUGGUUUCCAUUCCAUACGAUCAUCGAAGUUAAGCAAUGUUAUGCCUGGUCAGUACAUAAAUAGGUGACUACUUGGGAAUAUCAGGGUGCUGUAAG